rnacentral:rRNA from 1 species
GAUGAACGCUGGCGGCGUGCCUAAUACAUGCAAGUCGAGCGAACGGACGAGAAGCUUGCUUUUCUGAUGUUAGCGGCGGACGGGUGAGUAACACGUGGAUAACCUACCUAUAAGACUGGGAUAACUUCGGGAAACCGGAGCUAAUACCGGAUAAUAUUUUGAACCGCAGGGUUCAAAAGUGAAAGACGGUCUUGCUGUCACUUAUAGAUGGAUCCGCGCUGCAUUAGCUAGUUGGUAAGGUAACGGCUUACCAAGGCAACGAUGCAUAGCCGACCUGAGAGGGUGAUCGGCCACACUGGAACUGAGACACGGUCCAGACUCCUACGGGAGGCAGCAGUAGGGAAUCUUCCACAAUGGGCGAAAGCCUGACGGAGCAACGCCGCGUGAGUGAUGAAGGUCUUCGGAUCGUAAAACUCUGUUAUUAGGGAAGAACAUAUGUGUAAGUAACUGUGCACAUCUUGACGGUACCUAAUCAGAAAGCCCCGGCUAACUACGUG